GGAAGGAUCAUUAUCGAGAUGUCGUGAGGGUUUACCUUGCGCACUCCCCCCCCCCCCUCCUACCUUGUGAACGCGAACCUGUGGCCAUUGGGGCCGCGCUUUAAAGCAAAACUUUCAACAACGGAUCUCUUGGCUCCGGCGUCGAUGAAGAACGCAGCGAAUUGCGAUACGUGGUGUGAAUUGCAGACUUAGUGAAUCAUCGAGUUUUUGAACGCACAUUGCGCCCUAUGGUAUUCCGUAGGGCACGCCUGUUCGAGCGUCGUCAGAAUAUUCGGGUUUACCCGGUUAUGGGGGAUGUCCUCCCUUAGUGGGACACCUCUUAAAUUAUUCGGCAUCCCGGCCUGCUCCACGACGUGGCAUUGUUUUCGUCUUGGACUGGUCUGGUGCCGCCAAAUCUUUGAAUUUCGACCUCGGAUCAGGCGGGGAUACCCGCUGAACUUAAGCAUAUCAAUAAGCGGAGGAAAAGAAACCAACCGGGAUCGCCCCAGUAACGGCGAGCGAAGCGGCGACAGCUCAGAUUUGAAAUCCGGACCGCCUGUGUGGCCCCGAGUUGUAAUCUGCAGAGGAGGCAUCCGCGUGAUUGUCCGUCCAAAGUCCCCUGGAAUGGGGCGCCUUGGAGGGUGAGAGCCCCGUCGGGGCGGGCAAUUCAUGGCUAUGAGGCCCCUUCGACGAGUCGAGUUGUUUGGGAAUGCAGCUCAAAGCGGGAGGUAAAUUCCUUCCAAAGCUAAACACCCGCCGGAGACCGAUAGCGAACAAGUAGAGUGAUCGAAAGAUGAAAAGUACUUUGGAAAGAGAGUCAAACAGCGCGUGAAAUUGUUGAAAGGGAAGCGCUCGCGGCCAGACUCGGCUUGCCCGCUCAAUCGGUCCUCGUGGCCGGUGUGCUCGGGCUAGUCGGGCCAGCGUCGGCUCGGGCGACUGGACAAAGGCUGGGGGAACGUAGCCCUUCGGGGCGUUACAGCCCCCGGCAGAACACAGCCCGCCCGGGCCGAGGACAGCGCGCAAUUGCUAGGACGCUGGCAUAAUGGCCUUGAGCGGCCCGUCUUGAAACACGGACCAAGGAGUCCAACGUCCGCGCAAGUGUUCGGGUGUCAAACCCGCACGCGCAAUGAAAGUGAAUGGAGGUGGGAACCUGCUUCACGGCAGGCACACCGUCGACCGAUCCAGAUGUCUUCGGACGGAUUCGAGUACGAGCGCGGCCGUUGGGACCCGAAAGGUGGUGAACUAUGCGUGGGUAGGGUGAAGCCAGAGGAAACUCUGGUGGAGGCUCGCAGCGGUUCUGACGUGCAAAUCGAUCGUCGAACCUGCGCAUAGGGGCGAAAGACUAAUCGAACCGCCUAGUAGCUGGUUCCUGC
rnacentral:misc_RNA from 1 species